AAAAUAGAACAGCUCAGCUACUAGACAAAUCUCGAAGGUGCCUUGUCCAUCAACCAGCUCUUCGUCGAAUGAGAUUUUGCACCAUUUACUACUCCUGACGUGUAUCGACGGAUCUGUCUCGGAUGGGCUUUUUUAUGGAUCUACUGACAGCAUGUUCAAAAUACAUUUGAAGAGGUGCUCUUUACUGCUAUUUCUCAUCUCAAAACUACAAUAAAACUGUAAAAAUACAA
rnacentral:lncRNA from 1 species